rnacentral:misc_RNA from 1 species
GUAGCCCAAAUAUCAACACCAAACAAUCUGAUCUUCCUCUGGACUGUAAUUUUCAUCAAAGUUACUGCACCAUGGUGUUUGAUGACUUCCUCAUGAAUAAUGACCUGAUCACCAGCUCUCAAAUCCUUGAAAUGAGCAAACUCAAUCCAACCCACAGAAACAAAACGUCCCACAUUUUCAUCUUCUUCGAUAGAGCAAGGGAAGAUCCAUUCCCGGCCACUUUCGUCGUGGACGUGCAUGUUCACAUGCUGCCCUUCAUCGAAAGGCAAUUUGCCAAAAGAAGAAGCAGGAAUACACAAACAACUCUCUGCGUCGGUUUUGGUUAGCAUCUUUGAGAAAAGUGGUAGUGCAGCCAUUAUACUAAUUCAGCUUGGAG